rnacentral:rRNA from 1 species
UACGUAGGGUGCGAGCGUUGUCCGGAAUUAUUGGGCGUAAAGAGCUCGUAGGCGGUGUGUUACGUCGGCCGUGAAAACCUGCAGCUUAACUGUGGGCGUGCGGUCGAUACGGGCAUCACUGGAGUUCGGCAGGGGAGACUGGAAUUCCUGGUGUAGCGGUGAAAUGCGCAGAUAUCAGGAGGAACACCGGUGGCGAAGGCGGGUCUCUGGACCGAUACUGACGCUGAGACGCGAAAGCGUGGGGAGCAAACAGG